GUGGGACUAUGCCAAACUCUUCAGAAGCUACAAAAAGAGGAAUCUGUGCCCUCCUGGUCGGUAGAUUUUUCUAACGUAGUGAUGGAUUUUCAGCUUCAGACUAUGCAUGGCCUAGAGAAGGAAGUACUCCCUUGGCUUUAUAAAACAUGUAGAAGAGUGCAUGGAGAGUAAAUCAUCCAAGGACAGUCCUUCAAGAUGCUGCUGGAGUGCCAGUUUGACUUUCUUCCCAGCAGAUGACGUAUGACAGGGACAAGGAUCCAUUUUGGAGAAGAAGGGUGGUCAGAUUUGGUAGUUCAGCAUAUCAAGGACUGCACUGGUAUAACAAGCAGUGAAGCUCAUGGGAAAUGCAUCAGUUCUCAUUCCGAGUCUGGCUAACAAAGAUACGAACACUUAAUUAAGAUUUCUUUCAUCUCAUGAAAAUAGCUCUGAAGAUCUGAGCCUGACAUGAGAGCUGCCAGCAAGACUAGCAAAAGCAAAGUUUCCAGCUGUGGAAGAUCUUCAUUCAAGAACUUGCCCUCACAAACCACAUUUCUUUAAAUUGUGAGUGGGAUCUAGGUGCUUCUAAGUGGAUGACCUAACUCAAGCAAGAAACUCUUCUGACCCACUCUGGUCCUCUCAAUUCCUCUCUUGCACAUGGAGAGACCUACAGGAGGGAGAGCCUCUUUGCUCGGCAAGGAACGAUGGAAUCAGUUCAGUUGUGAAUGCUGCAGAAACAGUUGGCUCAGGCUUCCCAACAUGCCAUCUGUGAGAAAACAGAUAUUUUAGGUGACUGAUUCAAAAAAAUGCACAUUCUUUUAAUAUUUAUUUACAUACUUACAUUUAUAUUGAUUAAAAUCAGUCCGGUUUAGUUACAUUGAAUUAGUCUGUUGAUAAUUAAGCAUCUGUGAACAGGGAACAUUAGGAGCACUGAAGAAACAAACAAUAGUUUAUAACAGGAUCAUUACAGCAGUCUUAGCAGCACUUACAACAUGUUUAUUCAAAAAUGAAAUAUGCCCUAAGGAAGAAAAACGUCGAUUAUGGAACAUGAGGGAUUUAAAAUAAAAAAGGUCAGUUUUAAA